rnacentral:lncRNA from 1 species
UAUGUUUCAAAUAAGACAUUAUAUUUGAGCAUGCUGAGAUGUUAAAUAUUUCUCUGAGCAUAAGUGAUUGUGAAGUUAUGAGCAUCUGUAGCAAUGCCACACAUCGCCUGAAGAGGGCGGACUGAUCUACAUGACUGCGUGAGCGCGCUCUGUUUACAGAGAGAGAGAAACAUGAGUCUACAUGCAUGCACUCAAGCGCAUCAUAUGUACAUGAUGGCCUCAUGUUCUCUUUCUGCUUUCUGCUUAUUGUUUGGAAGGAGCUGCCUUUCUGUUUGAGUCAGAUUCAUUACUCAGAGCUUCACAGAGCAGGAACAUCUGGAGCUGUGUCAGGCAGCAGAGAGUUUUUAUGUGCCUAAAUAUGCUGCCAGACUGCAAGGCCUCAUUGCUUACAGCCCAUAAUAUGACCGAUAUUUGGUCUCAACAGCACAAUACAGCAAACACAUCUAGUGUGCGGUGAACUUUUGGCUCAUUCAAAUGGAUGUUGCAAACCAUGAACCAGCUGCUUUCAUAAAUCACAGCCAUAAUUGGAGGAGGCAUAUGAAGGCAUCACAUGAAUGUUCCAGACUGUUCUAGAAGCUUUACUCCUCUUUUCCUCUCUCCUGUGGCUGGAGUUCCAGGAAAAAGAGCCCCAGAGGUUUUCCGAGCACCAAAAAGGACAGAGAGCGAGAAAGACAGAGUCUCUGAGGACAUGGGGGUGACCCUGGGGGAAGUGGCACUGAGAUACAGCUGCAAGACCGAGUCCCUGAGCUCCUGGACUCAUUCACACACAAGCACUUACAGCCACAUGCACAAAAUUGCCAUUUACUGUGAAAAUUCUGCUCUUUCUGACACAUUCCAGCCUAACGUGCUCUGCUGUCUCCAAUCACAGACGCCUCGGCUGUCUCAUGGGAUAGUGCUCUGUCAGUUUGUUUUCUGGAAAAGGACUGCAAGUGAGAAGUCAUGCUAAAGUAUGAGAUUAGACAGACUACAGUGUCAAAAAGAUUUUUCAAAAGUUAUUGUAGUAUAUCGUUGAGUCAUUGAAUCAUUUAUUCAACACAUUCAUUCAGAAAUGGUUCAUAAGAAUAGGUCGUUGAAUCAUUCACUCAACUGAUUUGCUCAAAAAUGCAGAUUAAUUCAGUGACCAAACGCCACUGUUUAGAGAUGUACAAUUCUGAUGUGCUUUAUUUGGAACUACUUUUGUUGGUGUAAAACACACUGUAAAUUCAAAAAUUCAAACUUGAAAAAUUAAAAAAAAAAAAAGAAAAAAAAAUUAAUAUAUAUAUAUAUAUAUAUAUAUUAUUAGUAACAAACAAGUUAUGUAGUCUGUUUACUAAGUAAAAAAAAAAUAAAAAAAAAAAAUUUAAAAAAUAUAUAUAUAUAUAUAUAUAUAUUAUUGUAAACAAAACAAAGGUUAUUGGAGUCUGUUUUACAAGAAAAUGCUGUUUUAAUCUUUCUACUUGUAAAUUUCACACACAUCGCUUCUUUGGAAUUAUUUGUCAAUUGUUCUAGCAAUUUCCGAGGUAAAAUUAAGUUAAUUUUAUGUAUAAUGAGCAGUGACAUAUCUAUUUUGUAAAUGUUUUACCUGUACUGUACCUGUAUGUAACUGUUAUAGAAAUUGUAUUGCGUAACACUACAAGUCCUAGAAAAGUAGAGACCUUAGGGUUACACUUGGUUUUGAUAAUCCACUUUAGUUAUUCUAUUACCUAUAAGUAACUUUGCAACUACAUGUCAACUAACAAUAAUUAAUUUGCUACUACAUGUCAGCUAAAUGGCUUUAGUGUAUUAGAGUAUUAGUGGACUGUUAGGUUAGAGUUAUGUACUUGGAAGUUACUUAUAGUCACUAGAAUAUCUGUUGGGGACCAUCAAAAGAAAAUAUAUAUAUACAUAUAUAAGUAUGUAUAAGCAGAUAUUAAGCAGAUCAUCUACUUAUACUCUAAUGACUGCUAGUUGGCAUGUAGUUAUUUGUAGUUAAUAAAAUGUCUAAAAUGGACUAUUGAAAUAAAAUGUUACUUUUCUUAGUAAUAAAAGUGAAGUAUAGUAAGGAAGUAUAGUUUCUCAAGAGCUUUACACUCAUGUGGAGGAAUGCAGACUCAUAUCACAGUUCUGAUGCAUUCAGGACAGUACAAGAACAAUACAUACAGUACCUGUUGACCUCUGCUUUUGAUGCGUCAGGAGAAAUAUUGGAUUUUCUGCACACUGUUCCUCACAGUGGAUUUCUACAGAUUGAACUAUAUGGCUUCAGGCUAUGCGCGUUCCUCUCCUACUCAAUCUGAAGCUACAUUUGUGCCGUGUAGAAUAAUUCUAAUCUCUCAUGAGUCUGAAGACCAUUCAAAUGGAGCAAGUUUAUGUGCAUAAAAACAGAACCAGAAAUUAUUUAUUUAAUGUUUUUAUGAUUUUUUAAAUUAAUUUUUCUAACCACCCAUUUCUGCAAAACAGAGUGCAACAGUUAUAUAACAGUUAUAUAUUAUCAUAUAAUAAUAGCCACAUUUAUUAUCUUCAUGGGAAAAUUGAUUAUAUAAAU